AAGGGUUCUCAUUGGUGGUUAUUGCCCAAGUUUCAGCUCGAGUGGGAAAGGGAAUGUGGGUGUGCAAUAUGAGGCCGACAAUCAAGGGCCAACAAGCAAAGUGUCUAUUAUGUUUGUUGUUUUUAAUGUUUUGCGUCUAAAGUGGGAUGUAAGAGCUAGUAGAGCUCAUAUUAAAAGUUUCAGAUGUGAAAAGUCUUAAACGACCUCGAAACUUUCAUAGUUUGUAAAGUGACGAAGCUACGUUGGGGCCAAGGGGGCCUGGGCCCUGUCAAAAACCAAAAGAUCUCUGUAUCAGUAAUAUACCUGACGAAUCUCUAUUAUAUAAAGGAACAGCCGAGGUCUUUUUGGUAAAAUAACUUUUCGUGUCCCCUUUUGAAAAGUCCGUUAUACCCUCACAUAUCUCUCCUUCUGUUUCGUUGUUUAUGCACUCUCUUCAGUCUUCCCCCUCUCACUUUUCUCUCUCCUCCCUUUUCCCUCACUGACCCAUUCCUAGGGUUAGACAUUCUCGUCGUCUCCUGCGAUUUCUCCCCUCCAUCUCUCCCGCAACUGCGAUUGACUCGGGUGUUGCUUCCUCAUACUCAAACUCCAUAUCGUCGUAGGUUUCAAGCUCUACCAAUUCGCCUUCAAUGGCGAAGAAUAGAGGAAAUGGGGUUUCUGGGAGGUCGUUUUCGUCGAUUUCAAUGGCGUCGUCGGAGAUUGUGGUCUCAGGUACUAAUUCUAUAUCGAAAUUUAAGACCUGGUUUUCCAUUUGAAAUUUUAAGUGUGAAAUUUAGGGAUUUAAUUUGAUUUUAGGGUUUUCCGCCAGGUUAAUUUGAUUUUAGGGUUUUCCGCCAGGUUAAUUAAUUAGUUUAUUUAUUGUUUGAUUUUAGGGUUUACAUAAUUUUUCGGCGGAUUAAUUAGUGAUUUGGGUUUGUAAAACUGCAGACUGUUGCUAUGAAUUUUAUAAUGAAGCAUGGGAAGGGUGAUUAAGAUCUUCACAAUCUUAGGAAGGAGAUUGAGUUUCUUAAUAAAGAGCUUCCUAUUCGAAUUGCGCGCAAGCUAUUGAACUUGAUAAUGCGUUAUUGAAUUCGGGCUCUUCAAUAAUCAAAUCGUGGGCCUUACAUCGCUUCCCACCGUCGGCCUUCCAUCGCUUCCCAUGGAUCUCUGCCGGAAAUGGUGCAGCAACCCAGAUCGUUUUUUCACUUUGAAUAACUUUCUUACUUAGAUCUUUUAACUAAUUGUUGUUGUUUGUUGAUUGUUGUUUGUUGAUUGUUGUUUGUUGAUUUUGCAUUCAUAUAGGUUGAAAAAUUGAGAAAUAGAAAAAUGGGAAGGGGAAAGAUCUCGAUCGAGAGGAUUGACAACUUGACAAGCAGGCAGUAACCUUUACUAAAGAGGAUUGACAAUUUAAAGAUUGUGUUUCUUGAGUUUUUUCAUUGGUUUUUGUUUUAUUUCGUUAAAGAAUGGUUUUUGUGAAGUGUAUCUUAAUACAGUUCACAUUUUUAUGAACUUUAUUGGACUUAAAAAUCUAAUUAAUGACUCUCUCCACAUUAAAAAUGACAGUUAUUUUAUUGGGUAGAGUUAGAUCUUGGGGUUUUCUCUUUGAAUGCUAAUGAGUAGUUUGACUUCAGUUGUGUUUGGGAUAGUUAGAACCCUUAGAAGUAGUUAUGUCGGUGUUGGCCACGGAAUAUUAUGCAUUUAGAUAUCUUAUUGUCUAGCCGUAAUGACUUCAAAUAACUUCUCUCUUCGCUAGAGGGGAUUUUGUUAUUAGUCCAAUUUAUUUUUCAAAGGCUCUGAGCUAUCCAUUUUCUCUUGAUUGAUGUACUUUGCGAAUUAUAAUCAUAGUAUAUGUAUGCAUAUCUUUCGGUUGAAAUAACCAGAAUUUGUGCAAGAAAAAGAUUUUUUGCAGGAUAUUGAGAAGGAGAAGAAGAGAAGCAAGAACACUGAUAGUAUGAAAGAAGAUGAAAGUGAAGAGGUGUCUGAGAUCAAGGCAUCAGACUUUGAAGAGUCGAUGAAGUAUGCACGAAGAAGUGUCAGCGAUGCAGACAUUAGGAAAUACAAGUCGUUUACACAAACGUUGCAGCAGUCUCGCGUGUUUGGUACUGAAUCCCGUUUUGACACAAAUCAGAGUGCAACUGUUGCUAAUGCUACUACCUCUGCUGAAGCCACUAAUGAUUUAUAUGAUUAGAAGUUCGUUGCACAUGAAUGUUAAUACGAAGUAAUAUAGUCGUAAAUUGUAGAGGUAGAAUUUAAGGUUUUAUUCAUGUCGGUUUUAAUCUUAUUUGAUGAAACUCAAUUUAUUUCACAAUGAAUAUUCUUUAUCUUCAA